rnacentral:snRNA from 10 species
AUGCUUGCUCCAGUAGCACAUAUACUUAAGUUGGAAUAAUAGAUUGGCAUGGCCUCUGUGCAAGAAUGACAUGCAAAUUUGUGAAGCAUUCCAUAUUUUU